CCUACGGGAGGCAGCAGUGGGGAAUAUUGCACAAUGGGGGAAACCCUGAUGCAGCGACGCCGCGUGAGCGAUGAAGUAUUUCGGUAUGUAAAGCUCUAUCAGCAGGGAAGAAAAUGACGGUACCUGACUAAGAAGCCCCGGCUAACUACGUGCCAGCAGCCGCGGUAAUACGUAGGGGGCAAGCGUUAUCCGGAUUUACUGGGUGUAAAGGGAGCGUAGACGGCGGUGCAAGCCAGAUGUGAAAGCCCGGGGCUCAACCCCCGGACUGCUUUGGAAACUGUAUGGCUGGAGUGCAGGAGAGGUAAGUGGAAUUCCUAGUGUAGCGGUGAAAUGCGUAGAUAUUAGGAGGAACACCAGUGGCGAAGGCGGCUCUCUGGUCUGUAACUGACGCUGAGGUUCGAAAGCGUGGGUAGCAAACAGGAUUAGAUACCCCUGUAGUC
rnacentral:rRNA from 1 species